GCUACGGGAGGCAGCAGUGAGGAAUAUUGGUCAAUGGGCGCGAGCCUGAACCAGCCAAGUAGCGUGAAGGAUGACUGCCCUAAGGGUUGUAAACUUCUUUUAUAAAGGAAUAAAGUGAGGCACGUGUGCCUUUUUGUCUGUACUUUAUGAAUAAGGAUCGGCUAACUCCGUGCCAGCAGCCGCGGUAAUACGGAGGAUCCGAGCGUUAUCCGGCUUUAUUGGGUUUAAAGGGAGCGUAGAUGGGUUGUUAAGUCAGUUGUAAAAGUUUGCGGCUCAACCGUAAAAUUGCAAUUGAUACUGGCAGUCUUGAGUACAGGUGAGGUAGGCGGAAUUCGUGGUGUAGCGGUGAAAUGCUUAGAUAUCACGAAGAACUCCGAUUGCGAAGGCAGCUUACUAAACUGCCACUGACAUUGAUGCUCGAAAGUGUGGGUAUCAAACAGGAUUAGAUACCCGGGUAGUC
rnacentral:rRNA from 1 species